rnacentral:rRNA from 1 species
GACGAACCACACGAACGUUCUUCGGAAUUACUGGGCUUAAAGGGUGCGUAGGCGGCGCGGACAGUUGGGUGUGAAAUCCCUCGGCUUAACCGAGGAACUGCGCCCAAAACUACCGUGCUCGAGGAAGAUAGAGGUGAGCGGAACUUACGGUGGAGCGGUGAAAUGCGUUGAUAUCGUAAGGAACACCUGUGGCGAAAGCGGCUCACUGGGUCUUUUCUGACGCUGAAGCACGAAAGCUAGGGGAGCAAACGGG